GAUGAAGAACGUAUUGAAAUGCGAUACGUAGUGUGAAUUGCAGAAUUCAGUGAAUCAUCGAAUCUUUGAACGCACAUUGCGCCCUUUGGUAUUCCAAAGGGCAUGCCUGUUCGAGCGUCAUUUGUACCCUCAAGCUUUGCUUGGUGUUGGGCGUUUUUGUCUUUGGCCCGCCAAAGACUCGCCUUAAAAUGAUUGGCAGCCGGCCUACUGGUUUCGCAGCGCAGCACAUUUUUGCGCUUGCAAUCAGCAAAAGAGGACGGCAAUCCAUCAAGACUCCUUCUCACGUUUGACCUCGGAUCAGGUAGGGAUACCCGCUGAACUUAAGCAUAUCAAUAAGCGGAGGA
rnacentral:misc_RNA from 1 species